GGUGAACGCUGGCGGUAGGCCUAACACAUGCAAGUCGAACGGCAGCACAGUAAGAGCUUGCUCUUACGGGUGGCGAGUGGCGGACGGGUGAGGAAUACAUCGGAAUCUACUUUUUCGUGGGGGAUAACGUAGGGAAACUUACGCUAAUACCGCAUACGACCUACGGGUGAAAGCAGGGGAUCUUCGGACCUUGCGCGAUUGAAUGAGACGAUGUCGGAUUAGCUAGUUGGCGGGGUAAAGGCCCACCAAGGCGACGAUCCGUAGCUGGUCUGAGAGGAUGAUCAGCCACACUGGAACUGAGACACGGUCCAGACUCCUACGGGAGGCAGCAGUGGGGAAUAUUGGGCAAUGGGCGCAAGCCUGAUCCAGCCAUACCGCGUGGGUGAAGAAGGCCUUCGGGUUGUAAAGCCCUUUUGUUGGGAAAGAAAAGCAGCAGGUUAAUACCCCGCUGUUCUGACGGUACCCAAAGAAUAAGCACCGGCUAACUUCGUG
rnacentral:rRNA from 1 species